GAAUUAAUUUAUAGAAAUAAAGUCUUGGUUGUGAAAUAAAUUAUUUGAAGUAAGAAGAAAAAGUGGCGGUUUUUUAUGGUGCAUUGUGGGUGGAAUCUACAAGAUCCUGAGCAGGAUUUGAGAGGAUUUUCUUCAAGUCACGAGGAACAAUGUGACAACAUACACUGGAAUUGGGCACCGUAUGAGAACAUCUGGGACAAUAGAAAAAUUUUUAGUCCAUUUCUCACCGAAUAUUAACACACAUACUUUGCACAGGUGAGCGGAGUAAUCUAUGAGGGAUAAAGGGCAGGAGUUUCAUGCAGUCUACUAAUAUUGCUCUACCACAAUCUUUAAAGAGCGAUCACAAAUGAUUUCGGUCCAUCAUUUUUUCCAUAAUUAUAAUAAACUAGUUAUAAUAGGCCUAAUUCAGCGACC